ensembl:lncRNA
GUGGAAAUAGCUGGAGGAGAUAGCCCUUAUUUCUGACCUCAGGGAGGGAAAGGCGCAGCCCUUAAGAGACCUCAGAGAGUCAACACUGUCACUGCCCAGGGCCAUUGGCUCUGUGACUCUUCUCCCUUCCAGACCCACCUGGUAGGGACAGCAUCGAGGGGGCACACAUGGAGGGAAUAACAGCAUUGUAUGUUAAUGAAGUUUGGUAAUAAUGGUUUUAUUUAUAAGUGCCCCCACCCCUGCUGAAUCGCUCAGGGCUCUGCACAACAACCACAAAAACAAUUGCUCAUUAAUUAAAACCACACCAGCCUCCCCAAGAUUGCAAACAGAUGGAUGAAUACAUCAUAUGAUAUAAUAUCUCAGGAACUGAGGAUGGGAAGGGACCACCUGUGCCAGUCAGCCUGUGUGUCAGCCCACACCUCCAUGGAUGCUGCCCUCACAGCUCUCUGCAGUGUGCCAGCAAACACCAGCAGCUCUGUGCCACUGGCUGUGCUAUGUCCCUACAGAAAUCACCCCUAGAUGGUUGGACUAGGUGAUCUUAGUGACCUUUUCCAGCCUUAAUUAUUCUAUGAUUUGCACCUGAAAACCCUGCAGUAGCCUGUAAAUGUUGUUGGAGGUACAGUACCCCUUUCUCCCAUAUAUGCUUAUUAUACAGCAAGGACAGAUAGAGAAAAAACCCGUGGAUUUAACAAAUCCUUUCCCAUCCCUCCAGUGCUGCACAUGUUUUUCAUCUGAGCAUGUCUGGCCCACUGCAAGCAUGAGGAUUUACCUCCAGGUCAUCUCCACUUAAGAAGGAAAGCAUCAUUCAGUCUAUCCACCCCAAUAAAUCCGGGACCUGGGCUGAGCUGAACUGAGCUGGGAUCCAUUGUUUGUGAUUUCAUCAACGAGGCAACAGUGGUGUAAGAAAAGUGACUUUAAUAAUUCCAUCAUCCCCAGUGCCCACCGGCUUCACCUCUCCCCAUGGAGCCUGGCACCGGGGAUGGACUGAGUUUUCCUCCUGCCUUUCUCCACCGCACCUCUUACGAGCUGCAGCCCUUAUUUUCCACGCUGUUCCUGCAGCUGUGCCCUGGGGGCCUCCGCGAGGCUGCCAAUGUUUUCAGAAAGAUCAGGUUAGUGUGUGUGCUGGAGAACCUGGAAGUGUCUCAGAGAGAAACUGCAUAUGCCACCUUGGACAUCUGGAACGGACUGCCCUUGGAAUGCCUGUUAAUGGCAUUGACCUUAGUUUCAUCUCAGACCUUGGGGGAACACAUCAUGUGCUUUGCCUGGGAUGAGAGAAAAAAGAGAGAAAUCUCUAUUUUGUCAAGAAUAUAUAUAUAUAUAUAUGUAUGUAUGUAUAUAUAAUGGGAUGUAUAUGCCCUGGGCGUGCAGUCUGUUCUCCAGCACCACAUUCUUCUCUCCACAAGCUCCCCCUGGAGAAGGACUCAAUGUCCCCAGCCCCAGCUAGAGGCCAGGGGAGGUACGCAAGCUGACACACAGCCCAACAGAGAGACUGCUGGAGGUGCCAGGGAUAUGUGCCUGAAUAACAGAGGUCAGAGUCUGGCCCUGGUUUCUUAAUUCUUGUUACUCUGAUGACACACACAGCACUGUGUGGCCACAGCACAGCUGGGGAGCUGCUGUCUUAUCAGCUCUCACUCCUGGAAGGCUCCUCCACCUCUUCUCCUCAAAGGCUGACUUUCCGACACAGCUCAAAGCUCCACGCAACCUCUGAGGAGCCAAUGGCCUAUCUCAGGUCUGGAUUUGUCCCCUCAGGAAAUUACUGUGGGCCCUGACUGAUCUCCAGUGGACCCAUCCAAAAAAGAAUAAUACAGCUUUUCUGCAGACAACUCUAUCUUUGCUACAUACCAAUCCCAUGACAAACCAGUUGGCACACGAAUGCAAGCACGAAAGCAAUUUGGCUUCCCUCCUUCUUAUGUUGACAGCUUUAAAGCCGCUCUCUUUAAACUCACCUCCCGUAGGUGGUUCGGCAGCAGAGCCAAAGGCUGUGAUUACACUUCCAGAAUGUUUGUUAGCUGCAGGUCCCCAGGCACCGAGUUCUGGAAAAUAUUUUUCAAGCAAUGUCCUCAGGGUCAGAGGCAGGUUCUCUGGCUUGUUCCUGGCUGACUUCACACUGGGGUAUGCGUGCUGCAGCCAAUGUGUUUUUUAGGAUUCAUAGGCAGACAGGCAGAUCUGAUAGCCUCUCUGAGUUGCCGUCCACUUAGAUCUGUGCUUGCACCUAGCAGGACUGAGCCUUUUUCGUGUUGAUGCAGUGGGAUUUGGUCCCCACACAGUGUCUGAGCACAAAGCUACCAAAGCUCUCCAGGCCAAUCAGAUAGGGUGAACACAUCUUCCUGAACUUUAUUAC